rnacentral:rRNA from 1 species
AUUGAACGCUGGCGGCAGGCCUAACACAUGCAAGUCGGGCGAGUGGCGGACGGGUGAGUAAUGUCUGGGAAACUGCCUGAUGGCGGGGGAUAACUACUGGAAACGGUAGCUAAUACCGCAUACCAUCAGAUGUGCCCAUAUGGGAUUAGCUUGUUGGUGGGGUAACGGCUCACCAAGGCCACGAUCCCUAGCUGGUCUGAGAGGAUGACCAGCCACACUGGAACUGAGACACGGCCCAGACUCCUACGGGAGUCAGCAGUGGGGAAUAUUGCACAAUGGGCGCAAGCCUGAUGCAGCCAUGCCGCGUGUAUGAAGAAGGCCUUCGGGUUGUAAAGUACUUUCAGUCGGGAGGCGUUACCGGCAGAAGAAGCACCGGCUAACUCCGUGCCAGCAGCCGCGGUAAUAC